rnacentral:misc_RNA from 1 species
CUAAUUCAGGCCCUCCACCUGUGGGGUUUUCUGAUUUUAUGAGGGAGAAUGAAGGUAGAUUGGUGGGAAGAGACUCAAAUGGGAAUCUGAGUGGGAGACUGAAGGUAGAAUCCGUUAUUGAAGCUGCAGUGCUUGCUGCUAGUGGCAAGCCCUUCGAGGUUGUGUACUACCCAUGUGCUGGUGCUCCAGAGUUUGUUGUUAAG